rnacentral:rRNA from 2 species
GUCGACCGCCUGGGGAGUACGGCCGCAAGGUUAAAACUCAAAUGAAUUGACGGGGGCCCGCACAAGCGGUGGAGCAUGUGGUUUAAUUCGAUGCAACGCGAAGAACCUUACCUACUCUUGACAUCCAGAGAACUUAGCAGAGAUGCUUUGGUGCCUUCGGGAACUCUGAGACAGGUGCUGCAUGGCUGUCGUCAGCUCGUGUUGUGAAAUGUUGGGUUAAGUCCCGCAACGAGCGCAACCCUUAUCCUUUGUUGCCAGCGGUUCGGCCGGGAACUCAAAGGAGACUGCCAGUGAUAAACUGGAGGAAGGUGGGGAUGACGUCAAGUCAUCAUGGCCCUUACGAGUAGGGCUACACACGUGCUACAAUGGCAUAUACAAAGAGAAGCGACCUCGCGAGAGCAAGCGGACCUCAUAAAGUAUGUCGUAGUCCGGAUUGGAGUCUGCAACUCGACUCCAUGAAGUCGGAAUCGCUAGUAAUCGUGGAUCAGAAUGCCACGGUGAAUACGUUCCCGGGCCUUGUACACACCGCCCGUCACACCAUGGGAGUGGGUUGCAAAAGAAGUAGGUAGCUUAACCUUCGGGAGGGCGCUUACCACUUUGUGAUUCAUGACUGGGGUGAAGUCGUAACAAGGUAACCGUAGGGGAACCUGCGGUUGGAUCACCUCCUUACCUUAAAGAA